rfam:Rhodnius prolixus Rhodnius_prolixus-3.0.3-142.1, whole genome shotgun sequence.
AACCUUGCGCAGUGGCAAUAUUGUAACCAAUGAAGGUCUCCUGAGGUGCGAUUAUUGCUAGUUGAAAACUUUUACUAACCCAUCAUUUUUACUAACCCAUCAAUCUUAAGUAUAUGACCUAAGAUUACACUUAGGGGUG